UCCACGCCCUAAACGAUGAACACUAGUCGUCGGGAUGCUAGUCAUCUCGGUGAUGCACUUAACAGAUUAAGUGUUCCGCCUGGGGAGUACGGUCGCAAGAUUAAAACUCAAAGGAAUAGACGGGGACCCGCACAAGUGGUGGAGCAUGUGGUUUAAUUCGAAAAUACGCGAAGAACCUUACCUAGCCUUGACAUUGAAGAAAUAGACCAGAGAUGGACUAGUGCCCUUCGGGGAAUCUGAAAACAGGUGCUGCACGGCUGUCGUCAACUCGUGUCGUGAGAUGUUGGGUUAAGUCCCG
rnacentral:rRNA from 1 species